rnacentral:rRNA from 1 species
GAGCGNNGUAGCUUGCUACUGAUCUUAGCGGCGGACGGGUGAGUAAUGCUUAGGAAUCUGCCUAUUAGUGGGGGACAACAUUUCGAAAGGAAUGCUAAUACCGCAUACGUCCUACGGGAGAAAGCAGGGGAUCUUCGGACCUUGCGCUAAUAGAUGAGCCUAAGUCGGAUUAGCUAGUUGGUGGGGUAAAGGCCUACCAAGGCGACGAUCUGUAGCGGGUCUGAGAGGAUGAUCCGCCACACUGGGACUGAGACACGGCCCAGACUCCUACGGGAGGCAGCAGUGGGGAAUAUUGGACAAUGGGCGCAAGCCUGAUCCAGCCAUGCCGCGUGUGUGAAGAAGGCCUUAUGGUUGUAAAGCACUUUAAGCGAGGAGGAGGCUACUUUAGUUAAUACCUAGAGAUAGUGGACGUUACUCGCAGAAUAAGCACCGGCUAACUCUGUGCCAGCAGCCGCGGUAAUACAGAGGGUGCAAGCGUUAAUCGGAUUUACUGGGCGUAAAGCGCGCGUAGGCGGCUAAUUAAGUCAAAUGUGAAAUCCCCGAGCUUAACUUGGGAAUUGCAUUCGAUACUGGUUAGCUAGAGUGUGGGAGAGGAUGGNAGAAUUCCAGGUGUAGCGGUGAAAUGCGUAGAGAUCUGGAGGAAUACCGAUGGCGAAGGC